rnacentral:rRNA from 1 species
UACGGAGGGUGCAAGCGUUAUUCGGAUUUACUGGGUUUAAAGGGCGCGUAGGCGGGCAGUUAAGUCAGUGGUGAAAUCUCCGAGCUUAACUCGGAAACUGCCAUUGAUACUAUCUGUCUUGAAUAUCCUGGAGGUGAGCGGAAUAUGUCAUGUAGCGGUGAAAUGCUUAGAUAUGACAUAGAACACCAAUUGCGAAGGCAGCUCACUACGGGAUUAUUGACACUGAGGCACGAAAGCGUGGGGAUCAAACAGG